rnacentral:rRNA from 1 species
CAAGUAGGUGGUCUCAUUUGUCUAGGGUGAAAUCCUUGAGCUUAACUCAAGAAGUGCCCUAGAAACGGUGGGACUAGAGUUCUGGAGAGGGUCGUGGAAUUCCCGGUGUAGCGGUGAAAUGCGUAGAGAUCGGGAGGAACACCAGAGGCGAAGGCGGCGACCUGGACAGAUACUGACACUCAACUGCGAAAGCGUGGGGAGCAAACAGGAUUAGAUACCCUGGUAGUCCACGCUGUAAACGAUGGGAACUAGGUUUGAUGGGUCUUGACCCCCGUCGAACCGGCGCUAACGCACUAAGUUCCCCGCCUGGGAAGUACGGUCGCAAGACUAAA